rnacentral:rRNA from 1 species
GAUGAACGCUGGCGGCGUGCCUAAUACAUGCAAGUCGAGCGAACAGACGAGGAGCUUGCUCCUCUGACGUUAGCGGCGGACGGGUGAGUAACACGUGGAUAACCUACCUAUAAGACUGGGAUAACUUCGGGAAACCGGAGCUAACACCGGAUAAUAUAUUGAACCGCAUGGUUCAAUAGUGAAAGACGGUUUUGCUGUCACUUAUAGAUGGAUCCGCGCCGCAUUAGCUAGUUGGUAAGGUAACGGCUUACCAAGGCAACGAUGCGUAGCCGACCUGAGAGGGUGAUCGGCCACACGGGAACUGAGACACGGUCCAGACUCCUACGGGAGGCAGCAGUCGGGAAUCUUCCGCAAUGGGCGAAAGCCUGACGGAGCAACGCCGCGUGAGUGAUGAAGGUCUUCGGAUCGUAAAACUCUGUUAUUAGGGAAGAACAAAUGUGUAAGUAACUAUGCACGUCUUGACGGUACCUAAUCAGAAAGCCACGGCUAACUACGUG